rnacentral:lncRNA from 1 species
GCCUAGAGCACUGUGAGCUCACAUUCUCCCCCGGCUCCGGAUGGCGCUCCUGGAAGCUCUGCAGCCAGUCUCUACUUCAAAUGGGCUAAUGUUUUCACUGAAGAAUGAAAUGAACAGACAGAGACAAUUAAGCGAGCAGAUACAGUGAAAAGGAACACCGGCCGGCACUUUUCACACGACUGGAAGUGUAUGAAAGAAUUCCGCUUGGAAUCUGGUCCUCCGGCCACAGGGGUUUUGCCGUUUGCAUCAUUUUUCUUUUGCAAACCCCUCAGCCACCCCAGUGCACUGCCCGCCACUUCCCCUUUAUGGAAGAAAAAGACCGAGGCGCACAAAGAAAGGCCCAAAUACUCACAGGCACGGGAAAUAUUUUCUCUGCCUGUUACAAGGACCGGAUAAGCUCCAAGAAAGAAAAUCCACCUAGAUAUUUUAAACUGGGAAUGUCUCCCCGAAGCCUGUUAAAUGUUCACAUGUGUCUUCAUGAAAUGUGCAGUAUGAAUUGUUUACACAGCACUGAUUGAGGGCAUGAGCACCAUUAAAAAGGAUCAAGUCGGUUUAGGGAUGGAAAAUUGUAGAAGCCAGAACUGCUAUCCACAAGGAGAAGUGUAGAGUUUUGGUUUCCUUUAAAUAAUAAUAGGCUGGUCUUGAUAGCGAAAGAUACUUCAACCACCAGAAGUGAGCUGUUGGUGAGCCUUCCAAGUUCUGUAAGGAAUCAACAAGGCAGUGGGGUCACUCUCAAACAGGUUCCCGAGGCGAAUGUUGGUGGGGUUGCCAGUGCUCUGUGACAUCUGUCUCUCUUCCUAGUGCCACACUAAGAGAUUUUCCAUGGCGGGAGCUCAGCGUGCCUAGUGUGGGGUUUACCUUGUUCAUAGUGUGCUGUGGUUUGAGGAGACUGGCUACAGCUCCACAAGGUGGUGGCUGAGGAUGAAGCCUCCUUGCUAUGCCUCAGAAGACUAAUUCCCAGCUGCUGGGAGGCUGCCUGGCUGGUUCCCUCUGAAUAUAAGCUUCCAUCUAUAUACCCCAGUUGCAGUGAGGAGGGGCCUACGAUAGGCUCAGAACACAAACCCACAGAAAGCUUAAACCUGGGCGGAUGUGCCACACCUUGGUCCUGAAUGAGGAAGAUGGACAAGAUCCGUGGGAUUAUACUGACAUGGCUUCCGUUUCUAAUUGGGUUUUGUUUGUUUGUUUGUUUGUUUGUUUGUUUGUUUUUUAAAUGGAAUCCAUACCUAAGAAUUUCUUAAUAAAACACCUCCCUUGUAAACCA